rnacentral:rRNA from 1 species
CCCCUACGGGGGGCAGCAGUGAGGAAUAUUGGUCAAUGGGCGAGAGCCUGAACCAGCCAAGUCGCGUGAAGGAUGACGGCCCUACGGGUUGUAAACUUCUUUUGUCAGGGAGCAAUUGGGUCCACGCGUGGGCUUAGCGAGAGUACCUGAAGAAAAAGCAUCGGCUAACUCCGUGCCAGCAGCCGCGGUAAUACGGAGGAUGCGAGCGUUAUCCGGAUUUAUUGGGUUUAAAGGGUGCGUAGGCGGAUUGAUAAGUUGGAGGUGAAAUGUCCGAGCUUAACUCGGGAACUGCCUCUAAUACUGUU